UACGUAGGUGGCAAGCGUUAUCCGGAAUUAUUGGGCGUAAAGCGCGCGCAGGUGGUUUCUUAAGUCUGAUGUGAAAGCCCACGGCUCAACCGUGGAGGGUCAUUGGAAACUGGGAGACUUGAGUGCAGAAGAGGAAAGUGGAAUUCCAUGUGUAGUGGUGAAAUGCGUAGAGAUAUGGAGGAACACCAGUGGCGAAGGCGACUUUCUGGUCUGUAACUGACACUGAGGCGCGAAAGCGUGGGGAGCAAACAGG
rnacentral:rRNA from 1 species